rnacentral:lncRNA from 1 species
CUCCGCUGUCGCUUGGACAGUUUAAUCUGAUGAUUUUUAAAAUAAGAAAUGACUCAACUCCUAGUUUUGAGGUUGGCUUUUUGAAGCAGUGCCAAACUGUUUUAGGUCUUUAGAUCUAGGGAUGCUGUCCUUGUCAAUUGGCCAUACUACCUAUGGCUACUUCCCUGCACGCGUCGGGCAGUUGUGUGAGUUUAACUCCAACACCGCCUGACACUGCCUGGUUCCUUCUGGACAUUGUCCUGCUGCUUCAUCUCCCGGAAAGCUCCUUCUCUGGACUUCUACAAAACAUCAACUUGACCAACUGCUGCUUUAAUAUUUAUUGUUCUGGAUGCAUGAAUGUGCACGUUCCAGUGUGCGUGGGCUAGUGCAGACAGCUCUGUCAGGAGCCUGUAAAACUUGAGGUUGAAGACCAAGGGUGGACUUCUUGCAGUGCCUGCCUGGCACAAGGGCUUGCUUCUGAGUAGAUAGAUGCUCAGUGAGCGCUCUUAAGUGGACUCAGGACCUGUUUCGACUUACCAACGUGUUUUCCAGUUUUCAACUUUCAUUUCACCCGCACAGAUCAUAAGCGCAGAGUCCUGCAACGUCAGCCCAUUCUAUGUCCAGAAGCCCUUUGAAGAUCAAGAUAUAAAUACACAAAACCAGACCUGAGACAUCUACCCAUCUUUUGGAAGGGCUCAGUUAUGGAGCUUCCCUCCCAUGGAUGAAGAUGUGCUAAAGUGGAGAAGGAUCCCAAGAGAUCCUUCAAAGUCUCGCUAAGCUCUCUCAGUGAAACCAAACACAUACCUGGAGGUUUUCUUCAUCUGCAGAACAAG